ACUCAACUCUUGACCCCUCUAUGAACCCAGUAUACCUCUCAAUCAACCUGUCUGUCAACCUUUUAUACUCUUUUAUACAAUCUGUCAACCAACACCCCCCUCAUCAACCCUUUAUACCCCUCUAUCAGCCCUUUAUAUGUCUUUAUACGCCUCUGUCAGCCCUUUAUAUGUCUUUAUACCCCUCUAUCAGCCCUUUAUAUGUCUUUAUACGCCUCUAUCAGCCCUUUAUAUGUCUUUAUACCCCUCUAUCAGCCCUUUAUAUGUCUUUAUACCCCUCUAUCAGCCCUUUAUAUGUGUCAAGCUGAGCUGCAGACCACGCCCUUUUUUCCCUGGUUGUGGUGCCUAGCUGCAGUCAGCUAGUUAGUCACCAGGUGGGAAGGAUCUGGUAAUUAGGAGAUUUGGAGUCAUUCACAGGAUAGAAAGCAGGCUGGGAAGAUGUGUUGAGGAACUGGGAAAAAAUGAGACUGCAGGACUAAAGCUUGUCUGAACGAGGAAGGAGUCGGUGAGCGUUUGUUUGUUUGUGAAAUGUGGUGGAUUUUAAUAUUAAAGUGAAUCAUGUAAUUAUAUUUAGGGUAAAAAUGUUUGUAUAAAACCAUGUGUUUGAAUUGUAAACUAAAGUGUUGUACAUUUAACAUCAUGGAGAUUUGAAGCAUGGUUAAAAGUAAUGUAUUGUAAAGUUUAAAAGGGAAAAACUGUAAGUGUAGGAUUGUGUUUGUAGAGGGUUAAAGUUGUUAGGAUUUAAAGUUAAAUUAUGUGAGCAGUGAUUUAAAAUAAGUAUUUUGAUGUUGGAUGGUGAUGUUUAUUAUGGUUACCUGAGUUUAUUAUGUGUUUCAUUGAUUUACUUGUGUUUGUAUUUAAGGUUUUUUACCUGCUUAUGGCUACGACAACUUUCAAAUAAAAGAAGGAAAAGAAA